GACGAACGCUGGCGGCGUGCUUAACACAUGCAAGUCGAGCGGAGCGGCGCACGGGUGAGUCACGCGUGCGUAACUUCCCCCCUCUCUGGGAUAACCGUUGGUAACGGCUUCUAAUACCCGUUUUUGGGGGAUGACUCGCGUCCUAUACGCUUGUUGGUGGGGUAGGGGCCUACCAAGGCGACGACAGUUAGCCGGCCUGGGAGGGCGACCGGCCCACUGGGGCUAGAAUACGGCGCAGUCUGCAACGGGCGGCAGCAGUGGAGAGUAUUGGACAUGGAGGUAGGCCCUGGAGCAGCAACGCCGCGAGCGAGAUGAAGGCCAAGGGUUUGUAAACCGCUUUCAGCCAUGACGCGGUAGUGGCAGAGGAAGCACCGGCUAACGCCGUGCCAGCAGCCGCGGUAAUUC
rnacentral:rRNA from 1 species